UGUCAUCCUCCUCGAUCUGUCCCUGGGAGAUACCCCAAUGAUUAAAACCACAAUUGUUUGAUUUGGUUUAUUAAUUCGUGUCGAUGAUCCACAAUGCCUGAUGCUACAAGAGUCCUUAGCUUUAUCCAGAAAAAAUGUUAUGCUGCUUUGAGAGGAUUAAAGUAUCAAAUCUGAUAUUUUUUGGUUCAGUGCCCAGGCUGGCAAUGACCCAGGAGAUCGGAAGAGAUAGCAGGUCAUCCCUACCAGGAAAAUCUUCACCAAGAAUGCUGACACUAACAGGAGAGCACGCUAGGGGUCAUUUCAUCUCCUAUACUUAGAUACACAGCAACAACACAGCGCCCUGUCUUACUCCUAAAGAGGACUCAAACUAUUUUUCCCACAGCCUCAUCAAAACUUGCAAGUUCAACUGGUUCGUUGGAUCAAUAUUUUUCCAUUGUUAUACAUUUGUGAUAAACAGCAAUCAAAAUAAUAAAGAAUUCUUGAAAAUA